rnacentral:rRNA from 1 species
CUUUGGGAUAACCCUCGGAAACGGGGGCUAAUACCGGAUGUUCACCUUCUGUCGCAUGGUGGGGGGUGGAAAGUUUUUCGGCUAGGGAUGGGCUCGCGGCCUAUCAGCUUGUUGGUGGGGUGAUGGCCUACCAAGGCGACGACGGGUAGCCGGCCUGAGAGGGCGACCGGCCACACUGGGACUGAGACACGGCCCAGACUCCUACGGGAGGCAGCAGUGGGGAAUAUUGCACAAUGGGCGCAAGCCUGAUGCAGCGACGCCGCGUGAGGGAUGACGGCCUUCGGGUUGUAAACCUCUUUCAGCUCCGACGAAGCGUAAGUGACGGUAGGGGCAGAAGAAGCGCCGGCCAACUACGUGCCAGCAGCCGCGGUAAGACGUAGGGCGCGAGCGUUGUCCGGAUUUAUUGGGCGUAAAGAGCUCGUAGGCGGCUUGUUGCGUCGGCUGUGAAAACCCGCGGCUUAACUGUGGGCUUGCAGCUGAUACGGGCGGGCUAGAGUUCGGUAGGGGAGACUGGAAUUCCUGGUGUAGCGGUGAAAUGCGCAGAUAUCAGGAGGAACACCGGUGGCGAAGGCGGGUCUCUGGGCCGAUACUGACGCUGAGGAGCGAAAGCGUGGGGAGCGAACAGGAUUAGAUACCCUGGUAGUCCACGCUGUAAACGUUGGGCGC